rnacentral:rRNA from 1 species
AGAGUUUGAUCAUGGCUCAGAAUCAACGCUGGCGGCGUGCCUAACACAUGCAAGUCGACGAGAAAGGGGCUUCGGUCCUGAGUAAAGUGGCGCACGGGUGAGUAACACGUGAAUGAUCUACCUCCGAGUGGGGAAUAACUGAGAGAAAUCUUAGCUAAUACCGCAUAACACUUACGAGUCAAAGCAGCAAUGCGCUUGGAGAGGAGUUCGCGGCCGAUUAGUUAGUUGGCGGGGUAAUGGCCCACCAAGACGAUGAUCGGCAUCCGGCCUGAGAGGGCGCACGGACACACUGGAACUGAAACACGGUCCAGACUCCUACGGGAGGCAGCAGUGGGGAAUUUUGCGCAAUGGGGGAAACCCUGACGCAGCAACGCCGCGUGGAGGAUGAAGUAUCUUGGUACGUAAACUCCUUUCGAUGGGGAAGAUAAUGACGGUACCCAUAGAAGAAGCCCCGGCUAACUUCGUGCCAGCAGCCGCGGUAAUACGAGGGGGGCAAGCGUUGUUCGGAAUUAUUGGGCGUAAAGGGUGCGUAGGCGGUUUGAUAAGUCUGAUGUGAAAUCUCUGGGCUCAACCCAGAGUCUGCAUUAGAAACUGUCGGGCUUGAGUAUGGGGGAGGUGAGUGGAAUUUCCGGUGUAGCGGUGAAAUGCGUAGAUAUCGGAAGGAACACCUGUGGCGAAAGCGGCUCACUGGACCAUAACUGACGCUGAGGCACGAAAGCUAGGGGAGCAAACAGGAUUAGAUACCCUAGUAGUCC